ACUCCCUGCACCCACUAAUCCCCCUUUCAUAGAUGAAAAAACCAUGGAACUAAAUGACACAUGCGAGGACCCAUGGUACCCUCUUAAUGCUGGCCUUUCAGCAUCAAUUGCAACUGUCACCCAUAGUUCCUUCUAUCCAAGAUGACCUGAAGAACAACAAAAGGGAGUUCUACAGAGGACAAUUGCGUUUAAAAUCUUGACACAAAAUGAAAGAUAAACAUCAGUCAGCAUGUCACCUCAUCAAAGCACAUGUUGCAAGCAAUUUCAGGAACCUGAUGGAGGCCUAUUUGAGCAGUUAGCAAUAUAUGCAGAUGGGCAUCCAAUGACUUGUAGAUAUGAAAUCAAGGAUAGUUGCCGAUGUUCAUAUGUUUAUCAUGAAAUUAGAGAAAAAAAAAUCACCCAACCCAAAAUUUCUUGAGGAAAAAUACAGCUUUAGUUGGGUGAUUUUUUUUUCUCUAAU
rnacentral:misc_RNA from 1 species